rnacentral:rRNA from 1 species
GAUGAACGCUGGCGGCGUGCCUAAUACAUGCAAGUCGAGCGAACAGACGAGGAGCUUGCUCCUCUGACGUUAGCGGCGGACGGGUGAGUAACACGUGGAUAACCUACCUAUAAGACUGGGAUAACUUCGGGAAACCGGAGCUAAUACCGGAUAAUAUAUUGAACCGCAUGGUUCAAUAGUGAAAGACGGUUUUGCUGUCACUUAUAGAUGGAUCCGCGCCGCAUUAGCUAGUUGGUAAGGUAACGGCUUACCAAGGCAACGAUGCGUAGCCGACCUGAGAGGGUGAUCGGCCACACUGGAACUGAGACACGGUCCAGACUCCUACGGGAGGAAGCAGUAGGGAAUCUUCCGCAAAGGGCGAAAGCCUGACGGAGCAAAGCCGCGUGAGUGAUGAAGGUCUUCGGAUCGUAAAACUCUGUUAUUAGGGAAGAACAAAUGUGUAAGUAACUAUGAACGUCUUGACGGUACCUAAUCAGAAAGCCACGGCUAACUACGUG